UCAUAGCCCCACAAAUCCACUUCAUGUUACAUCUUUCCCUCAUGGGGCCCUACUGGUCUUGGUCUGGACUAUCCCUUAGCCUGACUGCGUAGAAAGCGGAGGCCACUCAGGCUGAUUCUUCUGGUUGUUGCACUGUCGUCCAAUCUGCCCACCACCUGCAGACCUUGCAGCUGCGACGCAUUUGUGAGAAGUAAUUAGAUACGGUUGGUAGAGAUGCAGCAUCUAAUAAUCAUACUCCAACUUCGUGAAGUGUGAGAUUGCCAUCGUGCAUGUUGGUCUAGGCCGCAUGAAAGAGGCUUCGCCCUUCGCAAAGAUGCACUAUCAGAGGAGAGCCCGUCAAGCAGGUGUUACAUGUUCUCCAACAACGCCCCCACCGAAGGUGUGGGCACAGUGACAACUUCGAUCCGUAGCGACUCAGUCCUUGCAGGAGCAGCACAACCACAAUAGACAAGAUGCCCCAGAUGACGCCUUCUCUCCCCUUUCACUCUCGUGAUGAUGCCCAAACUGGGUUGCAGCGGGGCAAGCAUGGCUAAUUGUUGUGACAGUUCCGCGCUGUCACUCCAGGUCCUCACAAAGCCUCGCCGAACUCAUCGCCCUGCAGCAGGACUCUAUUUUUUAGCGAUUCCUACAUCGCCAGCAGCGCAAUGAAUCAAGCAACGUCACGGAUCUCUGUUCAUGUCACCACGCAUGAAAUGGCUGCGACGAUACUUGUCACUCAGGAUCUUGAUGUCUAACGUUAAGCUUACGCUGUCCAUUCCCAUCGCUGACGUCCAACUCCGGCUACCACUGGAGACGUGGGCAACGAGGAGGACUACGGAUAGUUCCUCGCCGUCCUCUCCCGGCCCUGCGUGUCAAGUUGUGCAUUCGUAACAAUUUAGACCAUUCCUAUCUUGAUGCAUGGGUGUGAUCACCCACAGUCGGGAUUAGGCAUUGUUUGUACCCAAGUGUCCAAUGUCCCAGAUGGUGUGUUUCCAGUUUAUGAUUACUUGGUCCUUCUUCGUUUCUAACAGCAGGGUUACUGGGUCCAUCCCAUCGCUCAUCGACACCUCAGUUCGACAGAUUUGGAAACUUUGUCUUCCGCAAAUAGGCGCGAACACUGUGAGUGCAUCUUCAAAUCUACCAAUUGCACUUCCGCAUGGGUGUUACUUAUCCAUCUCCCUCGCAUCUGGAUCUCAAAGGUAAUAGUCUCGGUGUAACGAUGGCUUUGGCGCCUCCCCGAGAUCUGAAACCCUUGGUCCUCGCUCUCGUUCAGGAUGUGGAUCAACGAUGAUUUGUUGACGCUCUAGUUGGGCUUUGUUCGUUGCGAUCGAAAUUUGUUCUGUUCCGUUUACCCUCUGGACGGGAAUUAGAAGUGAUUGGAUGGGGGGACAACCUGGUCCAGCUAUGAAUGUCAGUGGCGUGGUGGAUGCGGGCAAGUCCGGAAAUACUCUGUCUUUGCAGUCAAUUACUCCAUUGAAGAACGUCCAGGUUGGUAUGCAAUCUCUCAACCUGAAUUAAGAUCCAACAGAGGGAGUAAUGCAAUUACGCUGCUGCAGAGGAUUCUUUUCUAUGGAUCUGAUCUCUAUAACCACUCAUUGUUUCUCCUUCCUCAUCUGAGCUCUAAUCACUUCAAUCGUGCGAAACGAGUGAACAACGGUCUUUUCGCUGUAGUUAGUGCAAUUCCGAUUCGGGGGAAGUUGAUUCUAUGUGUAGAACAAAUGCUAUUUCAUUUGAAGGAAACGACUUUUCCUCGACGAUUCUGCUCGAAAUUUUCUUGGAGUUUAAUGUGGAUCGAUUCCGCAGUAACCUUACCAGCACCCCAGUUGUCAACUUUCUGUAGACUAAUCACUGGUUUCCUUAUUUGUUGUGAAGCGCAAGGCUGGUGGUUUUUCUUAUUUGGAGCAAGUUACAGUUCGUCAAAAACAUUUACAUAGCUCGAAUCUAGAUAAUUGUCUAUUACACUUUGAUCUUAUUUUAAAGAUAAUUCCACGCUUUAAGGACCUACUUUUGUGUUUGAUUAUACGUAAUGUUUGGCGGAGCUCUUACUCCAUGCAACUGAUUAAAUCAAUUAUUUUUACGUGUUUCUUGAAUUUUUUUGUGAAUUUUAUGGUCUCGCACUGAGUCCCGUUCAGAGUUAUUCAGCUUGAUCAACAUACUCAAUUGCUUUCGUCCAGACUACUAGAAACAUGGAAAUGUGUCAGAUAGACUCUAAUUCAGAAUUACAUAUAUAUAUGUAUAUAUAUAUAUAUAUAUAUAUAUCACUGGCACCGAGAAAGUCUAGGACUCAGGUUGUCAAACGUCUCUAAAGACUUUCACAGGGUCAAGGCUCUUGGCUGUCAGGAAAUGCAAAGAAGUCGACUAUUCGAAGUGGAGUUCCAGAUUCGUUUCAGGUUGUAUUUGUGAAAGAUAACGUGUCAGUGCAUCCAGCUGAGUGCGCUAAUGAACGCGUUAGCGGUCGUCUGCGACUCAUAAAGCAGGGGACUACAGUCUUCAUGACAUGGAUUCCAUAUGCCAUCGAAGUUUUCGGGGGACAUGGAUCCUCAGUUGUGAAAUCAGCAGAGAAAGUUUUGCUGUCAGAGAUGUGGUCGAUACGUCGUCAUUCUCCACCUGCAGGGUUGCAGCAUAUUAUAAUCGUUCUCACCUCAGGUCUUUCACUACCACCCUUGUACUUUCCUUUUAGCGGAGUGGAGGAGUUCUUACUGACACUUGGAAAUCACGCUUCGCUUGUGAGGAGGAGGAGAAGAAGAGGGCCAUUCCAGAGAGUCGAUUUAGUCCUAUCUCCUGUUGAUAUAACUCCCGUCUUUCAAAGUGAUUUAGUCCUAUCCCCUGCUGAUAAUUCUCUAGCCAUACCGCAUAACAAGCCUGUUCAUCCUUGUGUUGCACCUGAGCAGUAUAACGGUUCAGCUCCCUCUAGGACUGUGAAGGGAGUUGUACAUUCAUCACCAGCCAAUGGCCAGGAUGUGUCAUUGUCGCAGAGCCCAUUGUCAAGGGGACUGCAUAACGAUGAGGCCCACUUGAAGCUACACGGACUUCAAUGUAGAGGCAGUUUAAGGGAGUGUGUGGCCCUACCGCUAAAUUGGCGUUAUAAAUUGCAUCUCACUUAUUUGAGUAGUUAUAGAGGAGACUUGGCCCGCAGGAGAUGGGAGUGGUGGUCAGGAAUUUCUUCAUCAAUAGAAAUGGUCACUGGUAUUCUAAUUCAUGUAAUUUGUUCGUUGCUCACCCCAGAUCUUCUAUUUCAUCUGAUGAUAGACACACGCCUCACUUAUAAGGCCCUGAAUGCUAUCAAGUAUAUUGAUAAGUUGGAGUUCUUCCAGCAUGUGACUAGUGGAGAUAUCUGCAACUACUUAAAGACUUUUUUCAGCAAAAUAAUUCAGAAUAGACAAGAGUGGCAGCGGAUCGAUGGUUCAUCUUCAGGUGCGUCGUUGGAGAAUGCCUUACCGUUGGCUACCUCCAUUAUACCGCCAUACGAGCAGCAACCCAGUGCACUUCAGCAGUAUGCCGUCCACAAUGUGCAACCAUUGGCUCGUUUCACGACAAUGCUGUAUGAGCCGCGGUCUAGUGUUUCGCAACAGAAUGGCAGUCCGAGGUUGCCUAAUAUUUCAAAGCAGAAGGUCAAGCGGAGGCGGUCUGAUAUUUUACAGCAGAACAUUUACUUGGGGCGCUUUCUUGCUUCGCAGCAGAAUUCUAAUUGGAGAAAGCUUGACGUUUCACCGAUGGAAGCCAACCAGGCGAAGUCUGAUGUUUUACAGCAGAAUGCUAAUCAUGGAUGGGUUGAAUAUCCUUCACAGGAAAACGUUCCUAAGGGGGUAAGCUACCUCGCAUGGAACUUUUGCAAAGUGCAGCAGAUUUUACUUGGAUUUAGUCUAACCUGUUACAUAGCACCGCUAUGAUCAGAGGGGCGUGAGACGGUGGGUACAAAGGUCCGCUCGAGAGGCUUUGAGGCUAGUGUUCGAGGAGUGGGGAUGUAGGUAGGUCACUCUGAACGAGACUGUCGCUCUAGCUGCCCGAUUCAGUGGGGACCCAGAUGCUGUGCAGAUCCAGCAGUUGUUUCGCAACUGGGCUCAGCAAAAACGUCGGCUAGACAGGGCUCAAAAUAACUCCCAUUCCCCCACAGGACUUGCUCCGGAGGAUGGAGGAGUUCGACGGACUAGAGAGGUCACAGAAGCUGCAAGUCAAGUUAGAUCGAAGACUCAUUCUCUCGGUCCUGCCCUUGGUGUGACGUCACAACAUCCAGAAUCCAAACCCACUAUCAUGUAGAUGAUGCCCCC